UAUCUGUUUGAUAAAAAGGUAAUUGAAGAUCGUUUUUAAAAGAUCAUUUGUAGAUGAUGACGGCAAGAGGUUGGUAGCAGCAGUUUGUUCCUCAGGAACUGAUGGUGAUUUGGAUGUUGCUGAAAGAAGAGCAUGUGAGACUUAACAAAAUGAGGGGAUGGGGGAACUGUGGUGGGGUGGGGGAGCGGUGGCGGGGUGUGGGGGGGUGGCGGAGUGUAGGGGGGCGGUGGUGGGGUGUGGAGCUGUGCUUCACUUAGUUCUGAACUCACCAGCCUGACACCUAGGGUCUGCACACGCACCAUCCAAAGCUGACGUGCAGAAACCACCCGAGUAAGAGGAAUAUGAAGCCCACGGACUCUACAGCUGUCAUAAGAGCCCAUCAUGGAAAAGCAGGGACUAAGUAUUUCUUUUGUUAACUUAAAACUUUAUUUCGCCAGGCGCGGUGGCUCAAGCCUGUAAUCCCAGCACUUUGGGAAGCCGAGACGGGCGGAUCACGAGGUCAGGAGAUCGAGACCAUCCUGGCUAACACGGUGAAACCCCGUCUCUACUAAAAAUACAAAAAUAGCCGGGCUAGGUGGCGGGCGCCUGUAGUCCCAGCUAUUCGGGAGGCUGAGGCAGGAGAAUGGCGUAAACCCAGGAGGCGGAGCUUGCAGUGAGCUGAGAUCUGGCCACUGCACUCCAGUCCGGGCGACAGAGCGAGACUCCGCCUCAAAAAAAAAAAAAAAACUUUAUUUCUAGUUUACUUUCAAUCAAAUAUUACUGAUCCAUUUCUGAAGAAGCAUCUGUUAGUGAUUAGUGCUCAGUCUCAGAGCAGUUCUUCACAGAACUGUGUCGAUGACGUCCUCCCCGUGGUCUCGGAGCAGCUCUUCACAGAACUGUGAGGACAACGUAGGAUGACAUCCUUUCUGUGGUAUCAGAGCGGUUCACGGAGCUGCGAGGACGACAUCCUUCACAUGGACUCAGAGCAGCUCUUCACAGAACUGGGUGGACCAAGCUUUGCUGCAAGAACGCCGGGCUCCUGUCACUCCUUCCUCUGCCUCUUGCUACCACCGCCGAAGGUCUUCAGGUCACGAGAUGAGCACUAUCGGUCAGAAACCCAUUUCAAGGCUGCCUGUGGAGCCCCAUCCUGGCAUCUUGCUGAGAUGUGCUGGUUGAGGUAGAAGCUAAUCCUGGAGAAUGUGGAUGGCCCAUCUGUGCCUGCACCUGCUGGCCUGACACUGGGCCAGGACGGACACCUGUCCUUCCUACAGACAUCAGCCGCCUUCGCCCUUCAUGGUUCUGAAUGUUGGGGUGCUGCAUGUGUGUUGUGACAUUUUGGGGAGUGAGGUCCACGGCCCCAUUCGAAGUUUUCCUGAAGGGGAAUGGCAAUCUGACAGCGUGGAGGGGGUGGAGUCAAAAGCCUUUGUUACUGGGAGGCAGAGCCGAGGAGAAUCCACUGGCUUCUUCCCAAAGAGCAUUUGGCCAUCCAUGGCUCUAGUUAGAGAGUGCAAGCGGAGGGAAAUCAUUGUAGGGGAUGACUCGUGACAAAUAAUCCAGCACUACCCAUCAACAACGGUGGGAGGGUCCAGCCAGCCCUGGCAGGGCUGCACAGGGAUGCAUGAUGCUGGCUGCUCACGCCUGUAAUCCAGCAAUUUGGGAGGCUAAGAUGCAUGGAUCAUUUUAGCUGAGGAAUCUGAGACCAGCCUGGGCAACAUGGUGAAAACCCGUCUCUACAAAAAAAUAGAAAAAUUAGCCGGGCAUGGUGGCGCAUGCCUGUAGUCCCAGCUACUUGGGAGGCUGAGAUGGGAGGAUUGCUUGAGCCCAGGAGGUAGAGGCUGCAGUGAGCCAAGGCCAUGCCACUGCACUCCCAUUCCCACCUGGGCAACAGAGUGAGACCCUGUCUCAAAAAAAAAAAAGAAAGAAAAACAAAACAAAAAAAAGCAGCAGAUGCUGGUGCCGUGCCUGUACAGCCUGCAGAAUCAUAAGCCAAAUAAACUUCUUUACUUCAUAAAUGACCUGGUCA
ensembl:lncRNA